CGCGCUGCGCUUCCGGGUCCUCUCUAGGAAGAGGGGAGGACUUUGCAUCUCGGUUUCCGAAUCGCUGGACCGGGCACCUUGGCCUUAAGUUUUCAAGCCUCCAGAAACCAAGGGCUGGCACAGCACAAUGGCAGAGCACACAGAAGGGAGCCCAGCCACCUACUACUGGGGGCACACAGCUCGACAAGAUGACAGCCCGAAUAACCUCCAGGCCCCAAACAAUGAUUCAUUCUCUACAUUGCUUGAUUUAGCUGCAGAUGCCAUUAUGCUCUGUCUCCCUACUUGCUUGCAUGUCCUUACAACAAAUCUCUGUCUAACUUUGUUCCUUGCCCCCUGGAAAAGCUCAAUGUAAUAACUAAUGUGAAAUCAUGUAUACUACUUCAAAAUGCGUGGCUGGGCACAGUGUAAUCCCAGCCUCUAAUCUCAGCACUUUGGAAGGCUGAAGAGGGAGGAUUGCUUGAGGUCAGGAGUUCAAAACAAGCUUGGCCAAAAUUAUGACAGCUUGUCUCUACCAAAAAAAAA